rnacentral:rRNA from 1 species
UACGGGGGGGGGCAAGCGUUGUUCGGAAUUACUGGGCGUAAAGGGCUCGUAGGCGGCCAACUAAGUCGGAUGUGAAAUCCCCAGGCUCAACUUGGGAACUGCAUCCGAUACUGGAUGGCUUGAAUUCGGGAGAGGGAUGCAGAAUUCCAGGUGUAGCGGUGAAAUGCGUAGAUAUCUGGAGGAAUACCGGUGGCGAAGGCGGCAUCCUGGACCGACAUUGACGCUGAACGGCGAAAGCUAGGGGAGCAAACGGG